rnacentral:lncRNA from 1 species
GUUCAUGAUUCCACUUCUGGGGAACGUACAGGAUGAAAAACUGUCUGAGAAAUGCCACAGCAGCCACCCAUCUCUCUUCAACUACUUUCUCAGCUAAAGGUGAAAUAUUUCUGCUCCAACUCAAGGCAUCCAGGAGUCAGACAUUUAUGUUUGGGCUGGUCAGAGCUGCAGCCAUUCUCCCUUUGCAGCUGACAAGGAGAAAUGGGAACCUCCAGAAGGUUGUUCAGCUUAUCCUCAGGCAGAUAUCUAUGGUGGAUCAGAAGAUUUGCUCUCAGAAAGUGCCUUCUUGUCUCCACUGCAAGAGUUCCUGUGACCACCAUCUCCUCCCAGGUGUAAAAGACCUGCACACCUCCCUCGUGAUGGGAAUGUUCUGCACAUCUCCCUGCUGGAAAUCUCCUGCACAUCUCUCUCGUGAUGGGAAUGUUCUGCACAUCUCCCUGCUGGAAAUCUCCUGCACAUCUCUCUCAUGCUGGGAAUCCCCUGGUGCUUUCUGGAAAGGCUGCUCCUGUGCAGUUGGGUCCCUUUGGAGCUUUGCCCUGGAGUAGCUGUGGUGGAGCCUCAGCAGCACAAAGUGGGAAGUAGUAUUCCCACAUUGUUUUUCUCAUUUAAUUCUCAGGGAAAAGCCUCCAAUUUUUCUAAAAAUCCUGUCAGUCUCACUUGUGAAAUCUGACGUACGGCCUAAAAAUAGUGUUUCGGUGAGAGCUGAGAGCAUCGACAGUGAACUGACUGCAGGAGCAGAGGUUGGCAAGCAUACACUGCUCAACAUUUCCAAAACUAAUUUUCCACAUCAAGUCUCCUCUUCCUUUUCCCUGUGCUAUUUAAACAGAAAUGUAAAAAGAAACUGUUAAGGAAACCCACAUAUGUAAUUGUUAGGGGAGGCAGAAAGUUUUGUGGCUGAGAAACAGGAGAAGAGCCAGAUGAUCCUGUUCCUUCUCCUGCCACAGACUUGCGUGACCUUGGCAGGCCAGGCCGGCGUUUCCCAGAGCGUUGACUCACGUUGGCUGCUGCUCCCCUGGACACUGGGAGUGGGACAGCUCAGCCGGGUGCUUUCACAAGUGUUGAGCAGUCACAUUUCCACUAGGCUGCUCAAAAUGAGAAAAUGCAGUUUUCAGCCCUGCUCCUGAACUUCCUUUCUGUUCCUCUGAAGCAAUGAAGGAGGUCUGCUCUGAGAGGGCAGUGGGGCACUGACCACGGAGAUGUGAUCACUCCAGCUGAGUGUCUGUCCUUGUUGUUCCACAUUUCCUCAUCUGCAGGAUAUUCAGUCCUGAAGAGUCAACAGUGAGUUCCUGUAUUAAAAAAAGCCCUGUGCCCCAAGGAGUUGGGGAAUGAUAAGGCCCCAGGACUGUACAGUCCCCCAUUAUACUCCUGCUUCUCCAGAGAGUUGGAUUUCUCAAGUGCAAUUUGUGGUCUGGUGUUUGGGGCUAAUUUUUAUGUGAAUAAAUGGGUCUGGUGAGGGACA